CAAACUCCCAUCCAAGAUAAACAUCCCAAAAGAAAAUUUGAAGUAAAAUUGAAGCAAGGAAAAGGACUAUAAUGAAUAUAAAGGUGCACUCCCCAGCCCCACUCAAGCGUAUUGGUGGGCUUACAUUUCUUUGAUGGGGAGUGCUCUCACUUUCAUGCAUUUCCCUCUCCUCCUUGGAUUGUUUACCCUUUUAAUAAGACCCUCCUAACUCUUUUCAGGGAAACUCAAGUCUUCAGGAAUCCCACAAGAAAAGGCUUAAUUCCAAGUUUAAAAUUAAUUCCAGAAGCUACCCCCAAUUGCCAUAGAGGAAAGUGAGGUUUCAGUUGAAGCAUUCAUUUCUUUUGUUUCCUCUCAGAGCUUCGUCUUUCUCCCACACAGCCAUUAGAAACCAACCAAGAGGCCUCUAAAGAGUUCUUUUCAUUUAAGUUCUUAAUUCACCCUCCUCCCCUCCUUCAAUAUCUUAGCUCAGCUUUAGUCUUAAAUUAAAGCUGAUAUUUCUUUUCUUCUCUACUGUUAAACUAUAUUUAUUUCCUCUUCCUUCCUCCCAUCUCUCUCUCUCUCUCUCUC
rnacentral:lncRNA from 1 species